UCUGAGCACUUCCUUCCUUUCUGGCACCACCAGGUGCUCAGGCCCAGCUUGGCUCAUCUUCACCAUCCAGGCUCAUCUCCGGCAUUUCCUGGCAGGGUCCUGGAAUCAGUGUUGCUUCA